AAAAACAAUGGAUUCUGUUACGCUGAAAAUAAAUAAAUUAAAAAACAAAAACAAAAACCAGGAGACGUGUUAAAGCGCAGUGCUCAGGGUGUGGGGCUGUUUCUGCGGUGGGUGUAGGGACCUCGCAGUGUUGCCGUGGACGGCGGGUGGUUGUGCUCCACUGAGAUGCGGUGCGCCGAGUGGUAACUCACACCGGGGAGCAGAGUGGAGUUCGUGGCAGCAAGUUACUAGGAGGAAACGUGAGGUUUAGGGUUGGUGAGAAGAGUGACCUGAUAGGUUUCUUGCUGAAGUCCGUCCGGGAUUGUGGGUUCGUGCAGAGUAAGGACUGCCCGGAUACUGUGGGGCCUGAGGACAGGCUCUCCGAAAUGUACAGUGACAUUGGUUGUUUUAAGUAAGAAUUACUUAAGAGACAGCCCAUGCCAGAAGGACACCCAGAUUUUCCUCUUCCUCUCUGAGGCACGAAGUAAAUCCGCCAUGUGGAAGGCUGGUGUACAAAGGAAGUGGAUUCAGAUUCUGAGCCAGCAGAGCCUGCACAGACUUCGUUCAAACCGUGAACCGGGUUGACGGCCCCUCCACGCACAUUGUACAUCUGAUUUGUGAAGAGUCACACCUAAGGGAAAACCGACUUGUCCUUGAGAUGCCCAUCAAUGCCCCCUGCAUUCCUACAUGCUAACCCUAACCCUAAAACUCAUGAUUCCUGCCAGUAUGUUAACCUGUAAGCUUUUGAGUUUUUACAAGAUGUGAAAAGUUUAUAAUGCUCUGGAGCACGUUUUCUGUUAAGAGCACGUUUCCUGGUCAGCUGGAGUGAAACUCUCUUUCUUCUCAGGUGUGUUUGCUUUGCAUCAGCAUUUCCUGUUGUAGUCAGCAGGAUUCAGAGCUCUGUGGGAAGAGCCGCGUGUUGUCUGGCAACUGGCGCUCGGUCCCCGCCCAGGACCUCUGUGCCGGUCCAGCUUCUCAGCACCUUAUGGGCGUGUUGCGUGAGUUCUCACUGAUAUCCCGACCUCCUCAGCUAGCGGUGACGGGCUUGAUGUUCAUUCCAGUUGUUGAAGCGUGCUGGUAAUGUUCGUUCUUUUUCUUUUCUUCAAAGAUUUACUUAUUCAUUUUAGAGAAUGAAAGAGUGUGAGCAGGGGGUGAGGGAGACAGUCUCAAGCAGAUUCCCAUCUGAGUGCGGAGCCGAAUGUGGGCAGAUCCUACCCUGAGAUCGUGACCUGAGCUGGAGCCAGGAGUCAGAUGCCCAACAGACUGAGUCCCCCCAGAUGCAACACUGGGUCAGGGCCUGCCCACUGACUGGGGAGCUGGCCGAAUGCAGCACCUGGGAGCCCAUGGUGUGGCCAGUUUGCAGGAUUCAUGACUCUGCGCAGAAAAGCAGUGCUGGAUCUGGAGAUCCAGAUAGUUUCUUACAUCUCAGGCUGACUUCAUGGGUGUUCAAAAUGGUUUGAUAGCUAUCCAGCUAAAUUCAGGGGAACAGUUUAAAUGGGGUCCUCUAGUCCUCCACCAUCUUGCCUGCUCCUACAGACCUUUUUUUUU